GACUUGGAUAUAACCUGGCUGAAACAACCUCCGCGUGGAAGAGGCCAAGCACAGCAGGAGCCCAACUUGGCGAAGCUCCCAUGCUAGAAACGAAGAAACCCAGCGCAGGGGAAGGCCCAUCGUGCUAGAAACCGGGACAGCGAAAAACGAACUCGGCAGAAAGCUCACGCGGCCCAGUCUCAGAUUCCAGAAGACCUCCGGUUAAGGUCAACAAGCUACAACAUGCAGUGCCAAUUCA